GCCCCGGGCGGGCUCCACACCCACCUGCUUCCCUCGGCGGCUCCGGCUCCACUGAGCCGGAGGGUCCGCGGCCCCGCGGGCGCCGCGCACGGGGCGGCGGGGAAAGCCCGGGGCGCCCCGGCCAGGAUGCGCUUGGAGGCUUCGCGGGAUUCCCUGGACCCCUCUGUUUUCGGCCGCGGAGUUAUCCCCCGGCCCUCCCCACACACCCCUGACCCUGGCCCGCUGCUCGACCCCGGGGGACUGGGGAGAGGAGAGCCAGCUCCUGAGUGAUGACCCGGAGUAUCCCCAGGGAAGGAGCGCGCGGGUAACGAGGAGCGCAGAGAGGAUCCGACUUUCCUCCGAGCUCCUCCAGCUCUAUUUGGGGGCCGUCGCCAGCUCCAUAAUCCCCGCUUUCCCAGGUUUGAGGGAAAAGCCUGGUGGGUGGGAGCCGUAACUCUGACUACCCACAGGGGCGCUAUUCAUACCCUGACUUGCUUUCUCUUGCCCGCUCUCCCUGCCGUCUAGAGAACUGUGCCAAGUUCCUCCUUGGAGAGGCAGCCAGAUGGACACCCAGAACUUUCCGUAUCUUCGUGUCGAGUAACAUCAAGAAGGGCUUCCCAGAUGGCUCAGUGGUAAAGAAUCUACUUGCUAAUGCACGAAAUGCAGGUUUGAUACCUGGGUCAGGAAGAUCCCCAGAGAAGGAAAAUGGCAACCCAGUCCAGUAUUCUUGCCUUGGAAAUCUCACGGACAGAGGAACCUGCCGAGCUACAGUCCCGAGGGUCGCAAAAGAAUGGCACACGACUUAGUGACUAAACAACAACAACAACAAUAUCAGGAAAAGACUGAAAAUUGAGGCAUGGAGAGGUUAAGUAACUUUCUCUAGGAAGCAUAAUUAGGAAGUAAUAUGAGUGCCAUUGGAUCUCAAGC
ensembl:lncRNA